UAUAGAAUACAGUAUAAGAGAGUGACGUUUUGAAUUGAACUACUGAAAUUAAUGUACUUUUCAGAGAUAUUCAAAUGUAUUUAGAUGCAUCUUUAUGUAUUUUGGAAGAACUAAACAAUAAAUGUGCUUUGUUUCUAAAUCCAAUAAACAGAGCCUCACACAGGAGAGAUGGGCAUCCAUGCUUCAAGGAGGUUUCCUUCCAAUUCGCCUUCUACGGUUGCAGCGGGUUAUUAUGCAAAUGAGGCUGCCUGAUUCAUCAACAACUGUGAUGAUGAUGAAGCUGGCCAGACAGGAAUGUCACCUGGACACACAUCAGAGGGAAGACGGAGGGUGGAACCAGCAGAACAGAUGUGGAUAUUGAGUGGCCGACCAAAAUUACCCCAAGAGGGCAGCUGCGACUCAUCCAAGAGGUCACAAAAGACCCCACAACAACAUCCAAAGAAAUGCAGGCCUCACCUGCCUCAGUUAAGAAAACAUCUUGAUGAUCCCCAAGACCUUUGGGAAAAUACUCUGUGGUCUGACGAGACAAAAGUUGAACUUUUUUCUGGUGUAAAAGUAACACUGCAUUUCAGAAAAAGAACAUCACACCAACAGUAAAAUAUGGUGAUGGUAGUGUGAUGGUCUGGGGC